CCUACGGGUGGCAGCAGUAGGGAAUCUUCCACAAUGGGCGAAAGCCUGAUGGAGCAACGCCGCGUGGGUGAAGAAGGUCUUCGGAUCAUAAAACCCUGUUGUUAGAGAAGUAAGUUCGUGCGAGUAACUGUUCACGUUUCUACGGUAUCUAACCAGAAAGCCACGGCUAACUACGUGCCAGCAGCCGCGGUGAUACGUAGGUGGCAAGCGUUAUCCGGAUUUAUUGGCGUAAAGGGAACGCAGGCGGUCUUUUAAGUCUGAUGUGAAAGCCUUCGGCUUAACCGGAAUAGUGCAUUGGAAACUGGGAGACUGGAGUGCAGAAGAGGAGAGGGGAACUCCAUGUGUAGCGGUGAAAUGCGU
rnacentral:rRNA from 1 species